AUUGAACGCUGGCGGCAGGCCUAACACAUGCAAGUCGAGCGGAUGAAGGGAGCUUGCUCCUGGCUUCAGCGGCGGACGGGUGAGUAAUGCCUAGGAAUCUGCCUGGUAGUGGGGGAUAACGUCCGGAAACGGGCGCUAAUACCGCUUACGUCCUGAGGGAGAAAGUGGGGGAUCUUCGGACCUCACGCUAUCAGAUGAGCCUAGGUCGGAUUAGCUAGUUGGUGGGGUAAAGGCCUACCAAGGCGACGAUCCGUAACUGGUCUGAGAGGAUGAUCAGUCACACUGGAACUGAGACACGGUCCAGACUCCUACGGGAGGCAGCAGUGGGGAAUAUUGGACAAUGGGCGAAAGCCUGAUCCAGCCAUGCCGCGUGUGUGAAGAAGGUCUUCGGAUUGUAAAGCACUUUAAGUUGGGAGGAAGGGCAGUAAGUUAAUACCUUGCUGUUUUGACGUUACCAACAGAAUAAGCACCGGCUAACUUCGUG
rnacentral:rRNA from 1 species